AUUGAACGCUGGCGGCAGGCCUAACACAUGCAAGUCGAGCGGAUGACGGGAGCUUGCUCCUUGAUUCAGCGGCGGACGGGUGAGUAAUGCCUAGGAAUCUGCCUGGUAGUGGGGGACAACGUUUCGAAAGGAACGCUAAUACCGCAUACGUCCUACGGGAGAAAGCAGGGGGCCUUCGGGCCUUGCGCUAUCAGAUGAGCCUAGGUCGGAUUAGCUAGUUGGUGGGGUAAUGGCUCACCAAGGCGACGAUCCGUAACUGGUCUGAGAGGAUGAUCAGUCACACUGGAACUGAGACACGGUCCAGACUCCUACGGGAGGCAGCAGUGGGGAAUAUUGGACAAUGGGCGAAAGCCUGAUCCAGCCAUGCCGCGUGUGUGAAGAAGGUCUUCGGAUUGUAAAGCACUUUAAGUUGGGAGGAAGGGCAGUAAGCUAAUACCUUGCUGUUUUGACGUUACCGACAGAAUAAGCACCGGCUAACUCUGUGCC
rnacentral:rRNA from 1 species